UGGUUACAAAGUGUAUGGAGGUGACCACCAUAGAGGGAAGUGGACGCCCAGAGAAGGACUUUUGUUUUGAUUGUUCUAGCAAGACCACAGAAGUGGAUGAUUUCUGUAAGCAUAUUCGCAGCUUGGGGGGUGGUAGGAAUAAAGGCCGGCAGGCCGCAAACUCCUGUCAGAACCAGCCUCUCUGCUCCUUUGUACCUCCCCAGUACAGGGUAAGAGGUUCGAUUUACUUUUUCCUUGGAAGAAUGUCUGGAACCAACCAGUGCAUGCUCUAGGCUUUAGAAAAUAAAAUUUCUUUCCAGAAUUUUCCAUCUGCUUUACAGGGGACAAGUGGACACUCCUGUAAGAGGCUAAGCUCAGUAAGGGGCACUCCCGUUCCAUCAUUCUGCUGUCAGAGAGGUCUUGGGACAGAUGUAGAUGAGACGAGAAUCAGGGACAUUUUAUGAUCCCUGUCUUGCUGGACAGCUGGGGAGUCUUCCAGGGAUGAAGAAGGUGUCUGGUUUACAAUCUGCUUCAUUUCCAGCUUCUUUCCGCAGCUUUAGAUGAGGACCUGGAGGUAAUGGGUCAUCAUUGUGGGUAAACUCAUCGUGUAUAGUGGUGCCAAUGAUGUCAGAGGUCCUCCAGCCUAAACUCCUGUCCCUGGCACAAAGUCAACUAGCCUCUUGUUGAAUAUCCAAACAGGCUGUGUACCCCCAACCUUGCAGUAGAACAUUCUGUUGUGGGGAAACCAUGAGCUAAAAUUGAGCUCCUUGUAACAUCUGUACAAUCCUGUCUCACCCGGGGGGACACAUCGCAGACCUGGUACAUCUUCAUUGUGUCCACCCUACAAACAUUGCAAACAUUUCUGCUGUCUCCUUAAUUUUUACCCUUCGAAGCAUAAAACCCCCAGUUUCUUCAGUCCCUGUAUGAGAUUUUCUCUAACCCCCUCUCUGCCCUAGCCCCCUUCCUCAUAUUCUUUUCCACUUGCCAAUAUCCUUUUUUAAAGCAAGUGCCCUGGUUCUUGGGCAGAGCCCAGUGGACAUCCGGACACUACGAUAUUAUCAGUCGCUCCUCCCAACACUGUGCCUCCCAACACUGUGCCUUUGUGGUUUUCUUGAACCAGGGGCUCUUGAACCCUGAAGCCAGAUAAAUGUUUUAGAAAAAUCUUCUUCUGCAUUUGCAAAAGCAAAGUCUAGGUCAAAGAAGAGAGACACACGUAAAACAAUUGGAGGACACCAGUCCCUGAGCUCCAGGGCAGUGUGCUGUAGACGCUGGCCGUGAAGGGACUUGGGCUGGAGAUCUUUCUUCUUGCAUUUGCCCAUUGCAGUGGCUCACUCAACAGGGCUCUGCCUGCCACUUCUUCCUUCUCUGCACCCCUAACUUUCUCAGCUGUCCUAAUGCCCAGCUUCAGCCUACAUGAGGCUUGUGUGGUCCUGCUUCUCUCGUGGCCUUUCAGUUCCCACCCCAUCACCCAUGGGCAGUGGCUUACUUCACUGUCAUCUUGAUCCACGCUGAGAGAUUUAAGUUAGCACAGGUCCUAUUUUCAAAGUCCUAGGUCAUUGGGAAGCCUCAGCAUUGACUGUCUUGGUCCGGGUUCCUCCCUCCAGUGUGGCUGGGGUGUGAAGGAGGGAGCCGUGCCGGUUGACGUGGCCGGCAAGCUGCUGGCUGGCAAGAGACAGACAGACACACACUCAGGCAGGCAGGCAAACACACACACAGAACAAAGAAUCUUAUACACCCUACAAAAUUUGCCAGAUUUUCUACUUUCUGCGGCAUUGUACCUUUCCAGAUCAUUCUAGAAAUAGUGCGUUUUAAUGUGGCUAGUUUGUAGCACUCAAACCAAAGGGAAGAAAUGGGAAAAAAGGAUGUUUAGCAUUUAUUUUACUGUGUAGAGUAGCUGGGAGGUAGGAAGAUGCAAGAGAGAGAGAAAGGGAGCGAGAGAAAGAGAGGCAGAGAGGCGGGUGGGAGGGUGUACGCUGGAUCACAACUCGAUUUACACUCGUCUCUGCACCGGGAAGGAGGACUUCAUGCUGUCAAGGAGCGACUCCUUUAAGCAAACUGGCCGUUUGCAGUGUCUCUACUCCUGCUAGCUCACAGCGUCUUUUACUUCGUCUGGUUUGGUCAGUGCUAGCGGUCGUUCACAGCAACGGUCUACACAGCGUUGGGCCCCACACGUGGGCCUGGGGGGCAGGCCCUUUACUGAAGUUUCUGAAAUGCGUCCCGAGGACCAGGUGGCACCUGUAAGUCCCACGGAAUGACACUCCCCACCAGAGCCCUCCGUUCCUGGUUCUAAAAGCCGUUGCUGUGCCUUUCCUCACAGGGACACCACCGAGGACACCACCAAGGACAUAAAUGAGCAGAAUGACAAGGAGGCCAAGACCCCGAGCCCCGGCUUCUCCAAGACCUCUUGCUCCAUUCAAACCUUCCGUCGCGACGUUAGAAGCUGCGCAGAUGCGCAAAGACCGCGUAGACAGACGCUGUGCCAGGUGCUUAAUCCGGAUGACCUUUUGUUUGCUGCGUUCUGCUCUGUGUUGCCUUUUUAACCCUUAAUGAGGUUGGCCCUUGCACUGGUUAAUUUUCUGUGUCAUUUCGAUUGGGCUAAGGGAUGCCCAGCUGUUUGGAAGAACCUGACUCUGGACGAGUCUGUGAGGGGGUCUCUGGAAGAGGUUAGCGUUGGGAUUAGUCGACUGAGUCGAGGGGGGCGCUCCGCAAAGGGUGCUGGCCCCUCCCAGCGCCCGGAGGCACAAUCUGCUGAAAAGACCAGAAAGGCAGGCAAGGGGCAGAUUCUCUCUCUCUCUGCCUGAGCCGAGAUGUCGUCUUCUCCUGCCCUCAGCCACUGGCACUCCUGGUUCUUGGGCUUUUAGACCAGACCACGACUUGCACCAUCAGCCUCCUCUCAGGCCUUGGACUAAAUUACACUCCUGGCUUUCCUGGGUCUCCAGCUUGCUGGUGGCGUCUUGGUCUCCAUAAUCGUGUGGUGAUUUCUGACCCCCUCAGCAUGGCUGCUGAACUGCAGGUGGAAUUCGCGUGGGAGCCUAACCUUCCUGUUCUCGGCCUGUGGAAAAGUGUGUCGCCAAGUUCCAGACAGCGCUGCGGACUUUGAGGACACCGCCUGCUGACAGAUCACAAGCAGGCAGAGAGGCAGGCAGAGAGAAGGGGAAGCAGGCUCCCCGCGGAGCAGAGAGCCUGAUGCAGGACUCGAUCCCAGGACCCUGAGAUGACCCAAGCCGAAGGCAGAGGCUUUAACCCCCUGAGCCACCCAGGCACCCCUGAUAAAGGCUGUCCCCAGAAUGGCUGAGGAAGUGGUCGCACCCUGCCAGCCGGGGAAGCAGAAACACAGCCCACCCCUAGGGCUCUCUUGAAAUGAUUGAGAUGAACCGUUGGACCAGGAUAUGACAAAAGGGUGAAGGAUAUAUGUGGAUGUAAGCAGAAGGACUCUGGCUUUCUGGUUUCUGCUUGUCGGACACUUGAACACUUUUCUUUGCGACCUUGGGAGAGUUUUCUCAUCUCACUGUGCCUGGCCUGAAGUGGGUAGUAAGAAGCCUGCAGAGAGGAAGGCCCAACUCAACUGUGCGAGUUCAUAGGAUUAAUUAACACAUUCCACCCGUGUCGAUGUAAAUGGGAAGAACUCGUCCUUUCUGACGGCUGAGAAAUGCUCUAUUGUGGGAUGGUCCAAGCAUUGCUGCAGAUGAACAGAGGCAAAUAAUUCUAGUAGAGUCCACGUUGCCAGUGCUCACUCUGUCUUCGUGUGAAUUCCCGUGCUGGCUCUCGUUUCUGCCGCAUGAACUAUGGAGAGUGAACUCGGUCCCUUUCUGCCUGGCUGCUGCCCCCUCGUGUGAAGACGGUUCUAAGGCCUUAGCUCGGCCUUUUCUGACUAAACAGGUGCAGAGCUUCCCGUGGCUGCCCCGGUGGUGGGUGGUCGCCCGCUGUGUUUCCGGAGCCCCUUCCGCAGCCACAGCAGCAAGGAGCGAGCUGGUUGGACAUUCCCUGACGGCACUGGGGCUCGAGUGCUGUGCCCGGGAGCCUGCUGACUGCCACCUGCCUUCUGGCGUGGCCUCCUUGCUCUGCUCUGGAAUGAGCCUCCACGUGUCCUAGCUUUCCUUCGAGCGUAUUCUCCAGCUCCAUCAGUUCCUGCCUCCUUCUCCCGUUCUGCCGCUGGCACCCUCCCCAGGCCUCCCCUAUUUGACCUAACUGGGCCUACCCAGCCCAUAACGUGGUGGGGUUAAAUCACUUUUAAGUUUUCAUUUGUUGUAAAUGCUUUGCUCUAGUUGUCCUGAACUCCUUGGCCUCUGAGCUAGACUUCCUCAUGGCCAGCAAGGAAGCAGAAUAAGUGCUGCAUAUCACACACACACACACGUGUACGCAGUGAUGUUUACUUAAACCAUGCCACCAUGCUCUUGUAUCACUUAGAAUUUUUAUUUAUACUUUUUCAAGGAACUCUUUUAGACUUUUUAGCAAUAGACUUUCAAUCCCGUGUCACUCUUAUAAUAAAUAAAAAUCAAUCCCAUCAUGUUUCAAAACCUUAUUCUUAAACUGCUCACAUUAUAUAUCAAUAAAAUGCUUCAAGAGUGAACCUCCUUGCUGGAGGUUCUAGACUUGCAGGUUUGAUCGAGGACUUCAUCAGCUCAGGCGUCCUCUUCUUGCUGUCCUCUGCCUGCAACAUCCCUGAGAGACAUUUUCAGGCAGAGGUUGAUUUGUUCAUAGCAAAUGAAGCUUAGGAUUCCCAGGCCCUCACUAGCAAGAUCGCCUUCCUUUUCCUGCAUAGACGACCACCUUAUAGAAUUUUAUCAUAUGCAAAUGUGAUCAAAGGAUAAGUAGCCACACAACUUAGGGAAACAUUGGAAAAAUUCAUGUCAGGCAUCUAAAUAAUAAAACCAUUACAUUACACUUUGGAUUGUCGUAUUUGUCAAUUUUUAAAAAUUUAUAACUUGUUAUGAUUUAUUUUCUUUUUUUUUCCCCAAAGAUUUUAUUUAUUUGUUUGACAGAGAGAGAUCACAAGUAGGCAGAGAGGCAGGCAGAGAGAGAGAGGCGGAAGCAGGCUCCCUGCUAAGCAGAGAGCCCGAUGCGGGACUUGAUCCCAGGACCCUGAGAUCAUGACCUGAGCCGAAGGCAGCGGCUUAACCCACUGAGCCACCCAGAUUCUUCAAUUAUUACAUCAGUUACGUCAACGGAUUCAUCAUUCCCCAACUCCCUGUAUUUAGGCAUAUUAUUGUCCUCAAGCGUCGAGAGUAAAUGAAAGACACGCUGUCCUGUUGCACCGUAAGGCUUCCAUACGCAUUCCCUGAAAACAAGCCCACUCUGCUGUGGAGCUCCUGUACGACACGAAAACCAGGGAAUUACACAAUGCUACCAUGCUGCCUGUUCCAGUUCUGCUGAUUGUCCCCUUUCUAAGGUCCAGGAGCCAUCAAGGGGGGGCACAGUGCAUUUCCCUGCCAUGUCUCUUGGUCUGCUGACCUAUACUGGUGUCUCAGACUCUCUUUCAUGAACUUGAAGUGUUAGAUGUGUUAGAUGUGUCCAGACAAGGUACUUCGGAGAACAUCUUUCAUUUGGGGUUUGUCUCAUGUUUUCUCAUGAUUAGAUUGAGCUUUUGCGUCUUUGGCUGGAAUAUCUCAGAAAUGAUGCUGGUUCAUCUCAAUGCAUCAUUUCAGCUGGCACAUGAUUCCUGUAGAUAUUAAUUUUACCAUUUGGCUAACAUUGUGUCUUCCAGGCUUCUCCAUUGUGAAGUUAACAAAUAUGUUUUAAGUUCUUAUAUGGAUUUUCUGGGAGUACACUCUGAAAUUAUGUAAAUAUCCUGUUUCUCAUGAAAAUUUUAGCCACUAGUUUUAGCUUCCAUUGAAUGCCUACUGUCUUUAUAAAUAAACUUACUGGAACACAACCAGGCUUAUUCUUUUAUGUAAUUUGUGUUGCUGCUUCUUUGCUAAAAAAAAGAUUUGAGUAUUUGUGACAGAGACCAAAUAUUGCCACAAAUCCUAAAUUACAUACUAUAUGACUUUUUUACAGAAAAGCAUAUUGACUCUUGCUCUUCUAAGCCUGG